AAUAGAUACCCUGGUAGUCCACGCCGUAAACGAUGUCGACUUGGAGGUUGUGCCCUUGAGGCGUGGCUUCCGGAGCUAACGCGUUAAGUCGACCGCCUGGGGAGUACGGCCGCAAGGUUAAAACUCAAAUGAAUUGACGGGGGCCCGCACAAGCGGUGGAGCAUGUGGUUUAAUUCGAUGCAACGCGAAGAACCUUACCUACUCUUGACAUCCAGAGAACUUAGCAGAGAUGCUUUGGUGCCUUCGGGAACUCUGAGACAGGUGCUGCAUGGCUGUCGUCAGCUCGUGUUGUGAAAUGUUGGGUUAAGUCCCGCAACGAGCGCAACCCUUAUCCUUUGUUGCCAGCGGUUCGGUCGGGAACUCAAAGGAGACUGCCAGUGAUAAACUGGAGGAAGGUGGGGAUGACGUCAAGUCAUCAUGGCCCUUACGAGUAGGGCUACACACGUGCUACAAUGGCAUAUACAAAGAGAAGCGACCUCGCGAGAGCAAGCGGACCUCAUAAAGUAUGUCGUAGUCCGGAUUGGAGU
rnacentral:rRNA from 1 species